rnacentral:rRNA from 1 species
GACGAACGCUGGCGGCGUGCCUAAUACAUGCAAGUCGAACGAACUCUGGUAUUGAUUGGUGCUUGCAUCAUGAUUUACAUUUGAGUGAGUGGCGAACUGGUGAGUAACACGUGGGAAACCUGCCCAGAAGCGGGGGAUAACACCUGGAAACAGAUGCUAAUACCGCAUAACAACUUGGACCGCAUGGUCCGAGUUUGAAAGAUGGCUUCGGCUAUCACUUUUGGAUGGUCCCGCGGCGUAUUAGCUAGAUGGUGAGGUAACGGCUCACCAUGGCAAUGAUACGUAGCCGACCUGAGAGGGUAAUCGGCCACAUUGGGACUGAGACACGGCCCAAACUCCUACGGGAGGCAGCAGUAGGGAAUCUUCCACAAUGGACGAAAGUCUGAUGGAGCAACGCCGCGUGAGUGAAGAAGGGUUUCGGCUCGUAAAACUCUGUUGUUAAAGAAGAACAUAUCUGAGAGUAACUGUUCAGGUAUUGACGGUAUUUAACCAGAAAGCCACGGCUAACUACGUGCCAGCAGCCGCGGUAAUACGUAGGUGGCAAGUGUUGUCCGGAUUUAUUGGGCGUAAAGCGAGCGCAGGCGGUUUUUUAAGUCUGAUGUGAAAGCCUUCGGCUCAACCGAAGAAGUGCAUCGGAAACUGGGAAACUUGAGUGCAGAAGAGGACAGUGGAACUCCAUGUGUAGCGGUGAAAUGCGUAGAUAUAUGGAAGAACACCAGUGGCGAAGGCGGCUGUCUGGUCUGUAACUGACGCUGAGGCUCGAAAGUAUGGGUAGCAAACAGGAUUAGAUACCCUGGUAGUCCAUACCGUAAACGAUGAAUGCUAAGUGUUGGAGGGUUUCCGCCCUUCAGUGCUGCAGCUAACGCAUUAAGCAUUCCGCCUGGGGAGUACGGCCGCAAGGCUGAAACUCAAAGGAAUUGACGGGGGCCCGCACAAGCGGUGGAGCAUGUGGUUUAAUUCGAAGCUACGCGAAGAACCUUACCAGGUCUUGACAUACUAUGCAAAUCUAAGAGAUUAGACGUUCCCUUCGGGGACAUGGAUACAGGUGGUGCAUGGUUGUCGUCAGCUCGUGUCGUGAGAUGUUGGGUUAAGUCCCGCAACGAGCGCAACCCUUAUUAUCAGUUGCCAGCAUUAAGUUGGGCACUCUGGUGAGACUGCCGGUGGCAAACCGGAGGAAGGCGGGGAUGACGUCAAAUCAUCAUGCCCCUUAUGACCUGGGCUACACACGUGCUACAAUGGAUGGUACAACGAGUUGCGAACUCGCGAGAGUAAGCUAAUCUCUUAAAGCCAUUCUCAGUUCGGAUUGUAGGCUGCAACUCGCCUACAUGAAGUCGGAAUCGCUAGUAAUCGCGGAUCAGCAUGCCGCGGUGAAUACGUUCCCGGGCCUUGUACGCACCGCCCGUCACACCAUGAGAGUUUGUAACACCCAAAGUCGGUGGGGUAACCUUUUAGGAACCAGCCGCCUAAGGUGGGACAGAUGAUUAGGGUG